GAUGAACGCUGGCGGCGUGCCUAAUACAUGCAAGUCGAGCGAACGGACGAGAAGCUUGCUUCUCUGAUGUUAGCGGCGGACGGGUGAGUAACACGUGGAUAACCUACCUAUAAGACUGGGAUAACCUCGGGAAACCGGAGCUAAUACCGGAUAAUAUUUUGAACCGCAUGGUUCAAAAGUGAAAGACGGUCUUGCUGUCACUUAUAGAUGGAUCCGCGCUGCAUUAGCUAGUUGGUAAGGUAACGGCUUACCAAGGCAACGAUGCAUAGCCGACCUGAGAGGGUGAUCGGCCACACUGGAACUGAGACACGGUCCAGACUCCUACGGGGGGCAGCAGUAGGGAAUCUUCCGCAAUGGGCGAAAGCCUGACGGAGCAACGCCGCGUGAGUGAUGAAGGUCUUCGGAUCGUAAAACUCUGUUAUUAGGGAAGAACAUAUGUGUAAGUAACUGUGCGCAUCUUGACGGUACCUAAUCAGAAAGCCACGGCUAACUACGUGCCAGCAGCCGCGGUAAUACGUAGGUGGCAAGCGUUAUCCGGAAUUAUUGGGCGUAAAGCGCGCGUAGGCGGUUUUUUAAGUCUGAUGUGAAAGCCCACGGCCCAACCGUGGAGGGUCAUUGGAAACUGGAAAACUUGAGUGCAGAAGAGGAAAGUGGAAUUCCAUGUGUAGCGGUGAAAUGCGCAGAGAUAUGGAGGAACACCAGUGGCGAAGGCGACUUUCUGGUCUGUAACUGACGCUGAUGUGCGAAAGCGUGGGGAUCAAACAGGAUUAGAUACCCUGGUAGUCCACGCCGUAAACGAUGAGUGCUAAGUGUUAGGGGGUUUCCGCCCCUUAGUGCUGCAGCUAACGCAUUAAGCACUCCGCCUGGGGAGUACGACCGCAAGGUUGAAACUCAAAGGAAUUGACGGGGACCCGCACAAGCGGUGGAGCAUGUGGUUUAAUUCGAAGCAACGCGAAGAACCUUACCAAAUCUUGACAUCCUUUGACAACUCUAGAGAUAGAGCCUUCCCCUUCGGGGGACAAAGUGACAGGUGGUGCAUGGUUGUCGUCAGCUCGUGUCGUGAGAUGUUGGGUUAAGUCCCGCAACGAGCGCAACCCUUAAGCUUAGUUGCCAUCAUUAAGUUGGGCACUCUAAGUUGACUGCCGGUGACAAACCGGAGGAAGGUGGGGAUGACGUCAAAUCAUCAUGCCCCUUAUGAUUUGGGCUACACACGUGCUACAAUGGACAAUACAAAGGGCAGCGAAACCGCGAGGUCAAGCAAAUCCCAUAAAGUUGUUCUCAGUUCGGAUUGUAGUCUGCAACUCGACUACAUGAAGCUGGAAUCGCUAGUAAUCGUAGAUCAGCAUGCUACGGUGAAUACGUUCCCGGGUCU
rnacentral:rRNA from 1 species